UUCUCCAUGUGGAAUGUGGUGUGGAGAUUGUUUACCUGCAGUGAUGGCUGGGUUGGAUUCUGGUGAAGGUUUUUUGGGGUCAGUGACCAGUGGGAUCCAGCUGUGGCUCGGACUCUUAGCAGAGAGUCAUGAGAUUUUUAGUUAGUUAGAUAGGUAAGAAGUAUGUAGAAUCAUGCAGUAUCUCUUUAAAUAGUAUAUUAAUGUAAUAUAGUGUAGUUUUAAUAAAACUAUCCUUCAAUCUUCUGAUCUGGAGCCAGACAUCAUCAUUUCUUCUCCCUGAGGGUCACCUGAUUUUACGAUAUGAAAGCCCCGUAAUUUCAGAGUUAUAAUAAUUCAUAGGGAAGUGGGUCACGUUUUCCAUUCCAAGGGAGGUUCCCACCUUGGCAGGCUUCUGUUUUUCCAAUGUAGGCAGGCAGAUCUGUAGAUAAAGAGAAAAAUGGGUCCUAGAGUUUAUAACGUGGUGUUGGCAUGGAACCAGUUUUUUUAGCCAGAUCCUUAUCAGCUCUGCAGAGCAUUUGUGUGGGUUCUUGGUUUCAUCUUGCCAGCCAAAGUCAUCCAGAUGGGUUGAUUUGUGGUGCUUAAAUUUUAUUUCCAUACAGGAAUUUUGGUUAAGAGAAUCUUUACUGCUUUAAGUAUUUACUAUAAAAAAAAAAAGUGGGCCAGGUAUCUCUUCUGCUUGUUCUGUCAGUACUUCUGCUCUGCAUAAAAAACCUGCAGACUGGUUAGAGCUGAGCUCUUUUCUGGACCUUUGUGACUCAUCUGAAUCAUAAUUAUUUUUGAGCUGUAUUCUUUAAUGCAUUUGAUCUACACUGAAAAAUCCUCUUCUUUCCUAUAUCAUCUAGAAUACCAUCCAGCCUAAUGGAAUUCAAAGAAGAAUUUGAACUUUUUUUUCUUCGUUUAGUUUGAGUUACUGUUUAAAAUGUUCCCAAAUAAUAACCUGUAUUAUUUUCUGUUUAUUUUCUCUUCGUACCUGAACGCAUUUCUUCUUGCUGCCUUUUUAUUGUCAUUGGAUCAAGAAAGAAUUAUUUAAGCAAUGUCCCAAAUACACAUUUCAUAAAUAGCAAUAGGAUUUUGAAAAAUUCAAAAGAAGGGCAUCAAUGUUCUGAAGCUUCCUCAUUUUCUUCUUAAAAAAAAUCAGUGAAAUCAAUACAAGUGUUUCUGGGCACUGGAGAAACAGCUUGUUUCUUUCAUCAUUACAAGCCCAUUUGGGGGAAGAAAUUUGAAAUAAGUUUCUGGAUGUUUUUGCUUAUGUGUGGCAAGUAUGUUCAUGGACUUUGAAAGGAGUGCUGAAAUGAGAUGAAAAGGCAAUUUUAGCUCUUCAUAAUAGUCCAUUUUCCUAAUUACUAGAAGAUGCAGGUAAAUAUUAGUUACAAAUAUUCUGUCUUCAAUGUCUGCAACUAGUUUCUUUUCUAACCCAAUUCUCAGAAGAAUUUGGCUUACUUUGUGCUGAGACUGGAAAAUGUAUUUCAGUGGGUUUUAUCCUGUUGGGUUUGUGCUUUCAUGGACAGUGUAAUGUAUUUUUUUAUUUAUUGCUUCCUUCUACCUGUGUCAACAUGAGCUCCCCACAAAUCAGCUAUCUGUGUUGACUGGAGUGCUGGUUGUGCUGGUUUGCUGAUGUUGUAAAGCUAUGGGUUUCUAGAAAAAUCCAGAUUUUUGAUUCAGAUUUUUUAAUUUUUGUUUGAUUUAGAGCAGCGUGUCAGCUGUGCCAAGGCAAUGCUCUGUGUGCACAGUGCUGUGCUUUUGCUUUAAGGCAGAGUUGCCAAAGUGAUUCCAAGUUAGGAUAUCAAGGCAUAAGUAAGAUAUUGUGAAUAUUUGUCUGUUACCUUGGAGACCACAGUGCAUGGGCAAGAAUGAGCGCACAGCUUGUCCAGGCUGAACUUCAGAGCAGGUCAGGCAACACUGGAACAGGAUAACAAGAAUCCACUUAUCUCAGAACCAAAGGUCUCAUUCUUUGCAUGGCCAGAGGAAUAAGGAAUAGACAGCACUAGGACAGAGAGUUCAGGGGAAGAAAAGAUGGCUUGCUGCUUCUCUGCUGCUGCUGGUAGCAGAGGGUUAAAAUCGUGGCAGCCAGGUAUUGCUGGUAAUUUGCUGGCUUUGUUUCCCAAAGGACGUGUCUGCUCUCCCUGUGGGAGCUCUUUCCCUUGCAGGGCUCCUGUCAGUGGCAGCAGCUUGGCUUUCCUGCUGAAUUUGGCAGCAUGGACACAUUUCAUCUUUUUCUUUCAGCCCCUGCUGCCUGACAAACUCCUUGCUUCUGUCAGUACUAAAGAUGCUGUUGGGAUGUUCUGUGCUGGGUGAUGAAGUGGCAGGUCUGGAGUGCAUUGGUAAUUGGUGAGCCUGGCAGGCUCUCAGCUAAACGUGAUGGAUGAGCACAGUUCUGUGGCAUGUGGUAGUGGUGGUAGAACCAUAGCUGGGGCAGGGAAAGCAGCAGCAGGUUUUAAAAAAAAAAAAAAAAAAAAAAAAAAACCACAACAAAACAGCCUUGUACAGGUUUGGGAAGUGGAACAGCUCCUUUGUAUCUUUGGGUGUUGAUGGGCUGUGCAGCUUUGCAGUCCCAUCCUCAUGGAUACUUCCAGGCAGCUGCUCAAACCACAUCAAUGGCCAAAAAGUGAUUUUAAAUGGCCCUGCCCUUCCUCCACCCCCCUGCCAGCUCCAUGCCAAGUCAUCCUGCAGGUCCAGAGGCUGAAAGAUGCAACAUAAGAGAAAACCUGAAGCCUCAUUCAAGGUGUAGAGGGAGCCUUCUUGGCAGAUGAAGGAUCAGUGAGAUAAGGGAGCAGGGCAUGGAUUGGUUGUUGCACUGGAAGGCUGUGCCAGGCUUCACUGAGCCUUGCUGAUGCCUUAGAGUUGGACACUGCCCCACUUGUGUUUUCAAAAUGCUGAUCAUUUAAUGUGUGGCUUUUUUUAGUGUAUUAACAAUUUUGUUUAUGGAGCUGGAUAAGCAGAAAAAAGGCAAGACUUUUAGAGAAUGAAGCUGUGUUAGGUGCUGAAAUGCAGAUAAAAUGUAUUGGGUAUUACAAAGCAGAUUGUAGAGCUUGUAAUUAUAGAUUGUAUAAAUUAUAGAUGGUAUAGAGCUUAUAGAUUGUAUAGAGCUUUAUUAAUUAUUUUAAUAUUCUGUAUUAAUAUCUAGUAUAAUAUAAAAUAUGGUGAAUGAGAUGGGUUUUACCGUAAAGCCUUGGUAAAACCAUUGGUUUGAACCUUGGGACUGAUAAGUUUCUGGCCUUGUGUUGGCAGUUGUGUUGUAGGUCUGUGUUAGUUCCAGAAUAAACAAAGCUGGAAGUGAACCCUUACACCAUGUAGCUGGGAGAGGCUUUCCUGCUCUGUGAUGUGAGAAAAUUCCUUGGUUCUUUCUCCUGCAUGUCUGAUUCUGUUGCCACGGGGAUGGUGGUGAAGGCCAUGUGUGUCUUCCUGCUUGCUGCUCUCUUGCUGUGAUGUGCUAAGAAAUGUGACCAAAGCUCUGGAAUUGUGGUGGACACGGGUGGCUUUCAGGUUGGCUUUCUGUAAUCCUGAAGACUCUUCAGGAAUUCUUAAACGUACAGAGUUGGCAAGGAGGUGACUUGCAGCAAGAAGAAUAAUCUCCCUCUGCAUGGAAGGGAUACUCAGGUGUGCUGGGGUGGAGCUGUUUUGCUGAUACAAAAAGAGCAUUUCUCUCAGUUCUGUUUCCAAACACGAGGUGGAGAGAUGCUGCUGUGCAGCAGAUGCUCAGGCAUGCAUUCAGCAGGACAUCUCUCCAAGAAGUUUCAGGGAACAACUCCUUCCUUGCGGCUUAGAUGGUAAAAUAGCAUCUGACAGCUGGGGCUUUUAUUGUGCCCCAAAAACCAGGGAUCAGAUGGUGCUAAAUGAGCUUUACAGUGUGGGAUUGAAUGCAGGAUGUGUGGGAUGAAUGGGAUACUGUAGCAUGGUGAAAACACUGGAGGAGGGCUCCUCCAAGGCUUUCAGACUGGUGGUAAAACAGCCUGUUGCCAGUGAGCCCUUCCCUUUGUGGUGUUGGGAAUUCUUCAAGCUGUGCUCUGGCCUGGAAUUUCUUUUUAGGCAGCUGAUGUUAAUCCUACAUUAAUUUUUACAAAUGGAUGUUGUAGGUUUUCUGUGCAGAAUACCCAUCCCAAAAAGAGUUCUGUGAGAAAUUAAAUUUCCCUUUUCAGAUUUCAUGCUUGUGGCUAAGAUCUCAUUGGAGGCACGAUUGUUCAGAUUAUACUGCAUAAUAGCUAAGUGCAAUGUCCCAUUCACCCCCUUUUAAGUCCAAUCCAGGAGAAAGUCUGUUGUGUCAGCAUAGAACUGUGGGGUUUGUUCUUCCUUUUUCAUUACUGCCUCCUCCCAGGAGAAAAACAAAUGGCUUUAUCUACUUCUGAGCCUUAUUCCUAGACAGAUAUGGCAGGAUAUUCUGCAUUGCUUUUGGCCAACCAGUUGCCCAUAGUUAUGACUGCACAGACGAGUAGUACCAAGUCAGUUUUUUAAAUCUAAUUUUGUUACACUGCAACCUUCAUUUGACUUAAUAAAGUACUUAAGUAGAGCUGUUUUCCUUAAAAAAGAGCUGCUUCCUUCCUGUAAUUUGAUGUAGUUGUAUUUCAAAUGUAAAGUAUUAAGUGGAACAAAAUGGCACAAUUUUGAGUGUGAACUAAGAUGAUGUGUGUGAUUGGAAAUUUUUUAUUGCUAAUCUGCUGAGCUUCUGUUUAAAGCUCAGUCUUCACUCGACACUCACAGAACCAAGCCUCAUUGUGCAGUUUCUUCUGAUACUGUUUUAAAUCAUAAGGUGAAGAAAAUGAAGUACACAAAAGUGGAAUUCCCAUCUCCUCAGGAGGGGCACUCGUCCUGUGGUUUUGUGAGAGCCUUUUUCACCUGGUACUUGUGAGCAGGGGCUGAGCUGGCCCCAGCAGGGGAAGAGCCUGGGCUUGUGUUGGGCAUCACAGCAGGGCAGGUGUGUGGGGAUGGACAAAAGAGAAGCUGGGCUGCACCAGUGUCUGUGUCACUGUCAGCGCUCCCCUUUGCAGGGGUGCAGGACCCCACCUCAGCUUGGAAUUACCAAGCAACCAGUGAAGCACAAAAUUAUGUCACUUGCUUCAAAGAAUGAGAAAGGGAUCACUGCACGCUUUCUUAAUUGGCUUUUUUCUUUCCUUUUUUAUUUCUUUUCUUUCACAUUGAGACAAGAACUAGAGAGGACAAAGUGUUAAGAGUGACGAGAUUAGAGAAUACUGGCUACAUUGUUAGUGUGGUGGGACAAUGUAUUUUUGUAGUGUUAAUGCAGUGCUAGAUAGAGAAAGGAAGUGGGGAGCUGGGAAAAGGAUCCCCUGCUUAGCUUGGCAUUGUGGUGGUGCUGGAAAUCAGAAAUCAAGUAAUAGGAUUUCACUGUCUGGAUCAGCCUCUGGCUGUCUGCAGUAUGUUCAGGAAAUCACUUCCCAUCUCUGCUUCCAUUUCCUUGGCUGUCAAAUGAGCACAGCGAUAACUGUCUCCUCUGAGUGCUCCGGCUGCAUUAGAGCAAUAAAACAUUUGGGAGGAAGGAAUCAGAGGUGUGAUUUAUGAAUCCAGCAAGGUCAGGCUGAGCUGCCUGUAAACAGCUGAAGAAAUCACAGAAUGAGGGGAGAGUCUCCUGAAGCUGAGCAGGCGCUGGUGUACACUGUCCAUGCCCAGGACUGCCCAAGGAAGUGAAGCAAAUCUCUUCAGCCCUGUCUGAACAGGGGCUGCUAAAACCAAAGUGGUUUUCUUUCUCUUCCAUGAUGCUUCCUUCAAGCAUUUGGUGCCAUUGGGUUUUUUCAAAAAGAGGUUUUGCUUGUUCAGUUCUUCUGUGUGGGUGUUUUAUUAAGAUGCUCUGCAUGGGUGUUUCCCUACAUAUAACUACUUAUAACAUGAUUUUAUACGUGAAGGCAAUAAAGUAAAGCAACUCAAUGAGAUAAGAUAUUGAGAUAAACUAUGAUGAGGAAUGUUUAUACACCGUAAGAGUCUCCUAAAUUUGAUAACCAUCAGUUCAAGCUAAUAUACCCCAUGGUGCUAAAGAAAGAAAAAAGGAAUCGAUAUUGCAGAAGCUUUUACAGAGAAUUUAUGAGCACUUUGUGAUCAGUUUGUGAAGACUGAAGCAUGGCUAGCACUAUGCACUUACUUAUGGAAAUGCUUACUGAGAAAUCCCUUGUUGAAUUCACACACUGUUUCAGGAAAUUAAAUUAGGAAAUAUGAAAAUGGGCUUUUAAAUUUUUUUUCCAUUUAUUAGUGUAUACUCAGAAGAAGAAAGUGCUGUAAUAAAUUAUCAAACUCCUUUGAGAAAUGUGGCUAAAUAGACAGUAGCAGUGAAGUGUAGUCCCUGCAAAAGUUCUUGGGCAUACUUGCUCCAGUUUCUAUGUUACAAGAGAAGUGGGUUAGUAUGGACUGGUUUCUGGUAGGAGUUCCCCUUAAGAUAGAUUUUCACUGUAUUUAGGUACUUCCCAGUCAAGACAAGAUUUGUAGCAUAAAUAGAUACCAACAUGCAGCAGUCACUAUCAUCUUUCAGAGAGCUGGAAGCUGUUUUCUAUGUCAAACCUGAUGCAUGCACAAUCUGAUGCUUGUUUCAGGUAUUAUUUACUGUCAGCAUUCCUAAGAAAGUGUUGCUGUGCUGUUCCCUUGCUGGAGAGGCCAUCCCUCAGCCCAGGCCACGGCCGUGGAUGGCUCCUGUGGUGCUGAACAAGGGAGCUGAUGCCUCCAAGGCCCCAGAGGAGCCACACGUGGUCCUGCUCACAGCUGUGAAUUGAAAUACAAGCAAGUAAGGAGAGCAUAUAGAUAAGAGUGGAAUGAAUUAUGGAAUAAAUUAGCAAGGAAUUAAGAAA